UGCACGGUGACGCAGUUGGUAGCACUGUUGCCUUGCAGCAAGAACGUCCUGGGUUCGAUUCCCGGCCGGGGGUCUUUCUGCAU